CCUACGGGUGGCAGCAGUGGGGAAUAUUGGACAAUGGGGGGAAGCCUGAUCCAGCCAAGCAGCGUGAAGGAUGACGUCCCUACGGGUUGUAAACUUCUUUUAUAAAGGAAUAAAGUGAGGCACGUGUGCCAUUUUGUAUGUACUUUAUGAAUAAGGAUCGGCUAACUCCGUGCCAGCAGCCGCGGUAAUACGGAGGGUCCGGGCGUUAUCCGGAUUUAUUGGGUUUAAAGGGAGCGUAGAUGGGUUGUUAAGUCAGUUGUGAAAGUUUGCGGCUCAACCGUAAAAUUGCAAUUGAUACUGGCAGUCUUGAGUACAGUUGAGGUAGGCGGAAUUCGUGGUGUAGCGGUGAAAUGCUUAGAUAUUGCGAAGAACACCGAUGGCGAAGGCAGCUUACUAAACUGCAACUGACAUUGAUGCUCGAAAGUGUGGGUAUCAAACAGGAUUAGAUACCCGAGUAGUC
rnacentral:rRNA from 1 species